rnacentral:rRNA from 1 species
UGACCAUGAGUUUAACGGCCGCGGUACUUUGACCGUGCGAAGGUAGCGCAAUCACUUGUCUUUUAAAUGGAGACCUGUAUGAAUGGCAUGACGAGGGCUUAACUGUCUCCUUUUUCCAGUCAAUGAAAUUGAUCUUCCCGUGCAGAAGCGGGAAUAACACCAUAAGACGAGAAGACCCUGUGGAGCUUUAGACACCAAGACAGACCAUGUUAAACACCCCUCCCAAGGGAUUAAACUCAUUGGACUCCUGCUCUAAUGUCUUUGGUUGGGGCGACCUCGGAGAAACAAAAAACCUCCAUGUGGAAUAGGAGUACUACACUCCCAAAACCAAGAGCCACAGCUCAAAUUAACAGAACUUCUGACCAAUCUUUUUUAAACAGAUCCGGCCAACCCACGCCGAUCAACGGACCGAGUUACCCCAGGGAUAACAGCGCAAUCCUCUUUUAGAGCUCAUAUCGACAAGAGGGUUUACGACCUCGAU